rnacentral:misc_RNA from 1 species
GUGAAUCAUCAAAUCUUUGAACGCAAAUUGCACUCUCUUCGGAGAGGAUGCGUGUUUGAGUUUGAGCCUAAAAAAAAUCAACAAAGGUGCUGUUACGCGGGAACAUUCGUCGGAAAUUGGGUCAUCUUAAACCUUUGGGUUUAAGCGACUUAAAAUUUUCUUUACGAUUCCAAUAACGUUCCUAAGAUUGUAUUUUCUUAUACGUUUAAGG